rnacentral:lncRNA from 1 species
GGAGAAUUUAAUAGAAGACCUUUGUUUUCUACCUGUAGUGAUUUAUGUUUGCAUGUUUCCAGAUUUAAAAUGCUUCUUGUUUCUGAAAAGGUGGUCGUGGUCAGGAUUAUUUUGGGAGAUUGGAGAAUGGUUGAAGCCAUCUGGAAAGAGGGUCUGGAAGAGGUUGGCUUUGAACUGGGGUUGAAGAGAAAGGAAGUUGUAUAUUCAACAUCAGGACAAAGUCACUGGCUGUGUACAGGGCUGGCCAUCACAUUUUGCCCAGUAGACUGGAACCCUAUGUCCACCUGUCCAUAUUGCCAUUCCCCGACAUGCCCUACAACAGAGUGAACAUCUAACAAAUAAUGCAAGACUGCACGCAACCCUUGGUGAGCGGCAUUAAAGGAAUACCAGAAUGUUCCAGAAGUUCUUUUUCUGAUAGCUGCUCCAAAUUUCUGGCCAAAGCCUCCUUAACCUUGCUUCAGGGUCAGAAUGUUCUCAAAGAGUGGUCAAUUUUUUAAACCUUCUUUUUUUAAUUACCCCGGUCAUCAGCAAUGAGGAACUCUAGAAUGUUCUGAUGACUCUUACAGUGCUUUGAUUAAUUGGACAUGUUUAACCACUCUGCAUCUCAGCUGAUCUGCAGAUAGUGGACGCUGAGAAUUUAACAGGAGAGGAAAAUGUAAUUGGACUAAUUUCAUUCCUGCAGAGCUGGAGAAGCGGAAGUCAUUUUUUAUCACUGCAGCUAUUAAAGGGCCCUGGUUUUUUUUCAAUACAGAAGAGCAUAAUAAACUUUAUAUAAAAGUGAACAGAUGAUCAAAUAAACAGAGUUAUGGAGAUAGGAGCUGGUGGGGUUGAGGUCUGGGAGAAUUUACUGUUCAGUCGUGGAACCUGAUGAUAGGUUUGAAAGAUGUCUCAGUUCAUCUCCAUCUGAAGUUGUUGGAGCCUCAGGAGCACAGAGCUUUGGGGGUCUUGCUGAGCCAGCACCCUGCCCUCCGGGAGCACUGUCACCUGGGAAAUGGUCCUGCCAGGAACAUUUUCAAGAAGUGUCCCUUGCACACUCAUACAGACAUAUUCACACACACACACAUACAGCUUUCUGGGCACCAGCUAAGUAAUACAGACAAAAGUCCAACUCCCCAGCCAGGUACUCUUCUCCAUGACUGGACCCAGAAGGAUCUCCUCUGAGGUCACUUUUUCCUGCUUUGUAAUGAAUCUAAUUACAGCCAUGGGUCAUAUAAACUGGACCCCCCCUUCCCCACUUAUCCUUUUACUUUGGCUGGCCUAGCAGAGAAGACUUAGCCACAGCCAAGGAGAUGGGUUCUUUUCCCUGUGGACCCUCUGUUUCCUCCAGAGGGACUCCCAGAGCAAAUGCCUGCGUGCAGUGCAGCCUCCGCUGAAGCUCCUGGACAUCUCCAGAGAGAACACAGGCUCAGAUCCUCUCAACCUGGACUCAGACCUGGGUUCCCUCCCCUUGCUGCACAGAGGAUCAUACAGUAAUACACAGCAUGCUCAACUAAAUUAGAAUUCCAGGGAAAUGAUGAAUGAUAUUUUGGUAUAUUUCAUGCAAUAUUGGGGAUAUACUUAUACUAAAUGUUAUUCAUUAUUGGUCUGAAAUUCAAAUGUAACUGGGCUUCCCGUAUUUUUAUCAGUUAAAUCUGCCAACCCUAUACCCAUGGGGCCUUGGGCGGGUGCAGCUUUAAAAAAUAUUCUGUGCCUCAGUUUCCUCAUCUUUUCAAAGGGGGACAAUAACAAUAAUAGAGCUGACUCCGUGUGGCCCGUGUGAGGAGUGCACAAAGGAAGCACUAGGCAAAUGUGAGGUGUGUUCACUCAUUCAUUCUGUCAAUAACCUUGUGUAGUACAUUUCCUCUAUAUGAGGCCCUGAGCCAGGCUGGGGCCUGGGGAGGGGCAAUACCAAACAUGGCAGAUAUAGGUUCUACCUCCUGGACUUUCGUUGUUGGUGGGAUGAGUCCAAAGAGGGGCUCUGCAGAUGGUCGGCUGGGCCAUUUGUUCCUCUGCAGUGGUUUUCUGUUUCUUGAAGAGUCUUUACAGGGACGGUCAGCAUGAAGUCCAUGGGAGAUGAACCUGCCUUGAUGGUAUCAACUCAGCAGGUCUGAUGAGCAAGUGCUUUGCAGCCCAGGCUCCCCCUCAUCUCUGGGCAUUUGGAACAUCCCACCUGAGUGUCCUGUGCCCGAGCCCCAGCUGCUGUCCUGAGAUGCUGCCUGAGACCGCCAUCCACCUCCCGUGAGUGUUGAUGGGACUCUUGGCUGACCUGGUAAGCUCUGCUGGCCAGGGAAGGAGGUGGAGUGAGGGAUCCUGCAAGGAAGUAGAGUUGCUUGCUUUUCCAGCAAUGGUCAGCCUCGACAGACAGCCCUGGGGGACCCUUAAUGCCUGUUCUCCUUCCUGUCCCAUGAGCACAAGGCACCAGGAUUUAGCUCAGUCCCUGGGGUGGGCAGGCUGGCUGGCCCAGGGUGGUACAGAGGAGUGGGUCCAGAGCAAGGAAGGUCUGGCUGUUGGACCCUUGUAGGGUGUGCAGGCCACCAGUCAGCUGCCUGUGGUCAAGCAGGGCAGUGUCUGGGUUUAUAUCUCCAGGGACAAGUGCGAAAGCAGAGAGCAGAGCCGGAGGGUGAGCGGGGUGAGCGGAGACGCCCCUCCCUGGUAGAAAGACCACACAUGCAAAACAGCCAUCCAACGUUAAGGGUUUCCUGGAUCUCCAGACCCAACUCAGGGAUCCUGGAGCCUGCAGCCAUCAGUUGAGCUUGGGGGACCAAAUUCAGUCAUUUCAGCCCAGAGUGCAGGAGCAGGCUGAAAACAGAUGGUGUAAAACAAAAAUCACAGGAAAGCAUGCAAGGUCGGGGUGCAGCUGCAUUUUCCCUGUAUGUGCCAGGGCCUCUCUGCAGGCCAGGGGGCCAGACCCAGUGACCAUGUCCUCUGAGAGCUUUCUGACUGCUCAGGUAGUUGCAGCAGGAGCUUAGGUGGAAGGAACUGUGCACCCUUUUUCGCAGAUGCAGAUGGGUGCAGGGUCAGGGUUGCAAGGAAAUCCAUGUUUUCUUGGCAGCUUCUUUUUGUUCCACGUUCAAAAUAUAUUUGUCUCUGGUCCUGGUCCUGCAUUAAUGGACUCUGACAUGUUGCUGUCAGUAGAGUGAAAUCCCAAGCAGAGGAAUUCCAAGCCACUCGGGAGUCCCUCUCAGACUCUCGGCGGCGAUCACGGUAUAUUAAGGGGAAGUUCAUCUCUUUUAGUCUGAGUUUUUAUUUGACAUGUUGCUAUAUUAAUGUCAAGAAGUCUACUUUAGCAAGUCCCUUUACAACGCAGCCUCAGGAGCUGCAUUACUGACAGAGAGAUUGGAGUUUCAGGAUGUGCCACGGAAAAAAUAAUCUCUGAGUUUCAUUUUGAAUAGCGAAAAUCUGAAUGAAAAACCCCCCGUAAUUGUCUGAUGGGAAAUAUAUUGUCUCACAAUAUCAGUUUCAUUGAUUCCCUUUCAUAUUUGUAUUAAAACUGAAAAGCUAGCAAUAACCUCAGCCUGUUAUUGGAAAUGUGGGUGUGGGAGGGAACAGCAGCCUGGGUAGGGAGGCAGGAAUUAAUCAGAGAAGAAAAGAGAGAGUCCUUGUGGGCCCCCCCCCGGAUCUUUUGUCUUCCUUCACACAGAAACACCAGCGAUGGCAGUUUUACAAAAGGGGUGAGCCGUUAAAUUAUCAUGGCAUUAUCUUUGUGUCUGUCUCUUUGUGUUAGGUAAAUAAUGCUCAAAUGAGAGGACAGUCCAUGACCUUGAGUGUGUCAACACAAUCUCUGCCAGCUGUCGCCUACUUUCAUCUUCAUGACACAUGCGGGGAGAGGAAAGAAGGAAGUAAUGGGCAGAAAAUGCCCUAAGACAGGAUCAUCGGCAGGUGUGGGGGGAUGGUGGGGACCUGCACCAGGCACAUUAGACCCCUGGUGAGUUUUGCUCGCAUGGAAUCCAAAACUCUAUAUUCCAACAAGUGUUUGCUGAGCAUCUACUUGCACUCUGACCUCACACUAGGAAUCUUGGAAGGUACAAAAUGAGGACGCCUCAGCCCCUGCUUCUUCAGAGCUGCAGUACAAGUUCAUACCACCUACAUUGAGAAUCAGGAAGUGCCGUGGCUGGUCUCCAAGAAGGCCCCCAAUGAACCAAUAACCCGCUUCUCACCUGGCGUUCACUGUGUGUGCAGUCCUCUCUCCUAUAGCUCCAGGUUGCUGUGUGAGACCACAGUGCACAGCAGACCCUUCUGAAAUGAGGUUGUACAAACUGCCACUUCCGUCUUAGGGGCGACUUGCUUUCUGGUUGUCUCUCCUUCUGGGAGUUCAGCGGCCACAGGAAGAAGUCUAGGCCAUGCUGCUGGAGAAGAGAGACCCAGGAGGGUGAGAGGCCACCUGGAGAAGAGAGACCCAGGAGGGUGAGAGGCCACCUGGAGGAGAGACACCCAGGAGGGUGAGAGGUUGCCUGGAGGAGAGAGACCCGGGAGGGUGAGAGGCUGCCUGGAGGGGAACGGAAGCCAAACUCCACCUGCCAGCCCUCUGAGUCAGCCUUCUUGCCAGCAGGAAAAUAAACGUUUUAAUCAACUGUUCUGCUUCUUGCUGGAGCCAAAGAUUCCUUCCACAGAAAACGCUCGGGAGGUCCAGGUGACUCAAGGCUCUGGUGAUCUGGUCCUCGGCUUGGAGAGGAAUCUGGGAAAGGCUCAGGGUUCCAGGCCCCUGCACAAGGCAGUUGGAACCUCAGAACACAGCAGGACCCAGGGACUGGAGCCUGCAGGUCGGGACUAGGAAAGGUUGGUGGGUUAUCGGAAUCAGAGAUUGGGGCUGUCUUUUCUAAGCUUGGCCUUAGUUCAGCCAGCACCUCCAGAAGCUGUUGAGACACAGAAGGGCCUAAAAAACCUUGACAUGUGGCCAUCAUUCCAAUGACCUCAAUGUGUAGAUGGCAGGUCAGUGGUUUUUACUCAGCUGUGUCUCCCUCAGUCCUCAUCUGUUAAAGGGGACAAGGAUGCCUGGGCCCAGCAGGCUGGGCAGCUGAUCCAGCGAGGACCAGCUCACCAGCACCAAGUGGGGGUCUGGUGCCUCUGCCUGCCCUCUCUUGGCCAUGUGUUCACACUGCACAAGCCUGAGAUCCCAGAGAGACAGUCUGAGCUGGGGCCAAUGGGUGCAUGUCUUGUGACCAGAUGCGGCCAUUGAGAUGUUCCCUGAAUUUAGUGUGUGGCCGUGGAAGGGAGUGCAAGGGACAUUCGGAGUACACCAGAACCAGGAUGGGGGAGGGGAACAGAGAAACCACCAGUAAACCCAGUGGGCGGGCAGCGGUCCAAGUUCUGCUCAGGUUCCUCAAAAGUCGAACAUGGAGUGACCACACAAUCCAACAAUUCUGCUUCUGGGACGCACCUGGAAGAAUGGACAGCAGAGACUCAGAUACGUGUCUGCCCACAUUCACAGCAGCAUCACUCAGAAUAGCCAAAAGGUGGAAGCAACCCAAGUGUCCAUAAAUGGCUGGAUGGAGAAGCAAAGUACAGUCUAUCCACACUGUAUAAUAGAGUGUUAUUCAGCCACAGAAUGAAUGAAGUGCUAUACCUGCUCUAACACGGGCGAACCUUGAAAACAUGCUGCCAGCUGACAACAGUCAAAUGGAAACGUUCCCGUAUUGCAUGAUUUCACUUACAUGGCACAUCAGAAUACGUAAAUCCGCAGAGACAGAAGCAAGUUGGUGGUCAUGGGCGCUGGGAGCUGGGAGUGAUUUUGCUUAAUGGGUGCACAGUUUCCUUUUGGGAUGACAUUAAUGUCUUAGAACAAGACAGAGUUGGCCGGGUGGGGUGGCUCACACCUGUAAUCCCAGCACUUUGGGAGGCCGAGGCAGGUGGAUCACCUGGGGUCGGGAGUUCGAGACCAGUCUGACCAACAUAGUGAGAUCCUGUCUCUACUUAAAAUACAAAAAUUAGUUGAGCGUGUUGGCACAUGACUGUAAUCCCAGCUAUUGGCACAUGACUGUAAUCCCGGCUACUCAGCAGGCUGAGGCAGGAGAAUCACUUGAAUCCAGGAGGCAGAGUUCGCAGUGAGCCAAGAUCACAUGAUAGCACUCCGGCCUGGGCAACACAGCGACACUCCGUCUCAAAAAAAAAAAAAAAAAAAAAAAAAGAAGAAAAGAAAAAAAGAACAAGACAGAGUUGAUGGUUACAUAACACAAAGAAUGCACUAAAUGCCACCAAACUGUAUGUUUUAAAAUGGUUCAUUGUACAUAAGUUCCUUAUGGAUUCUGGAUACUAGACUUUCACCCAAAAGCGGGGAGGGAAGGAAGGGGAAAGUGCUGAAAAACUAGCUCACUGCCUGGGUGAUGGGAUCCAUGGUACCCCAAACCUCAGCAUCACACAAUAUACCCAUGUAACAAACCUGCAUAUGUACCCCCAAAUCUAAAAUAAAAGCUGAACUUAUAACAUAUGUAGGUUCAUU